rnacentral:pre_miRNA from 1 species
UAUGGAGUUGGAACGUUUGUCUACGUUUGCCGCUGGGAUCGCUGUUCCAACUGCAUACAAGAGUUA